UACGGAAGGCAGCAGUGGGGAAUAUUGCACAAUGGGCGCAAGCCUGAUGCAGCCAUGCCGCGUGUAUGAAGAAGGCCUUCGGGUUGUAAAGUACUUUCAGUCGUGAGGAAGGCGUUAAGGUUAAUAACCUUAGCAAUUGACGUUAGCGACAGAAGAAGCACCGGCUAACUCCGUGCCAGCAGCCGCGGUAAUACGGAGGGUGCGAGCGUUAAUCGGAAUUACUGGGCGUAAAGGGCACGCAGGCGGUUAAUUAAGUUGGAUGUGAAAUCCCCGGGCUUAACCUGGGAAUGGCAUUCAAGACUGGUUAGCUAGAGUCUUGUAGAGGGGGUAGAAUUCCAUGUGUAGCGGUGAAAUGCGUAGAGAUGUGGAGGAAUACCGGUGGCGAAGGCGGCCCCUGGACAAAGGCUGACACUCAUGUGCGAAAGCGUGGGGAGCAAACAGGGAUUAGAUACC
rnacentral:rRNA from 1 species